rnacentral:rRNA from 1 species
AGGGUGUAAACGCUGCAGACUUGGUGUUGGAAGUCCUUUGGGGGCGAUUCAGUGCCGGAGAGAAGUUGUUAAGUCUGCUACUUGGGGAGGUACGUCCGCAAGGAUGAAACUUAAAGGAAUUGGCGGGGGGAGGCACCGCAACGGGAGGAGCGUGCGGUUUAAUUGGAUUCAACGCCAGACAUCUCACCGGAUAAGACAGCUGAAUGAUUGUCAAUCUGAAGGUUUUACAUGACUAGCUGAGAGGAGGUGCAUGGC